rnacentral:rRNA from 1 species
UACGUAGGGUGCAAGCGUUGUCCGGAAUUAUUGGGCGUAAAGAGCUCGUAGGCGGUUCGAUAAGUCGGACGUGAAAUCUCCACGCUCAACGUGGAGGGGCCGUUCGAUACUGUCGUGACUCGAGUCCGGUAGGGGAGUGUGGAAUUCCCGGUGUAGCGGUGAAAUGCGCAGAGAUCGGGAGGAACACCCGUAGCGAAGGCGGCACUCUGGGCCGGUACUGACGCUGAGGAGCGAAAGCGUGGGGAGCAAACAGG